CUACGUGUAGAUCGAUGAGAGUACCAUACGAAUAAGCAUCGGCUAACUCCGUGCCCAGCAGCCGCGGUAAUACGGAGGAUGCGAGCGUUAUCCGGGAUUUAUUGGGUUUAAAGGGUGCGUAGGCGGUUAUUGUAAGUCAGUGGUGAAAUUUUAGUGCUUAACAUUAAAAGUGCCAUAGAUACUGCAGAGCUAGAAUGGGGAUGCUGUAUGCGGAAUGUGUAGUGUAGCGGUGAAAUGCAUAGAUAUUACACAGAACACCGAUUGCGAAGGCAGCAUACAAAACCUUGAUUGACGCUGAGGCACGAAAGUGUGGGGAUCAAACAGGAUUAGAUACCCUGGUAGUCCACACAGUAAACGAUGAUAACUAGCUGUUGGCGAUACACAGUCAGUGGCUAAGCGAAAGCGAUAAGUUAUCCACCUGGGGAGUACGACCGCAAGGUUGAAACUCAAAGGAAUUGACGGGGGCCCGCACAAGCGGAGGAACAUGUGGUUUAAUUCGAUGAUACGCGAGGAACCUUACCCGGGCUCGAACGGUACAUGAACGAUUCAGAGAUGGAGAGGCCAGCAAUGGCAUGUAUCGAGGUGCUGCAUGGUUGUCGUCAGCUCGUGCCGUGAGGUGUCGGCUUAAGUGCCAUAACGAGCGCAACCCUUGUCAAUAGUUACCAUCGGGUCAAGCCGGGGACUCUAUUGAGACUGCCGCCGUAAGGUGAGAGGAGGGUGGGGAUGACGUCAAAUCAGCACGGCCCUUACGUCCGGGGCGACACACGUGUUACAAUGGUAGGUACAGAGAGGAUCUUUUUGGUGACAAAUGGGCAAUCUUAAAAACCUAUCUCAGUUCGGAUUGGAGUCUGCAACUCGACUCCAUGAAGUUGGAUUCGCUAGUAAUCGCGCAUCAGCCAUGGCGCGGUGAAUACGUUCCCGGGCCUUGUACACACCGCCCGUCAAGCCAUGGGAGCUGGGGGUGCUUGAAGAUCGCGACCGUGAGGAACGAUCAAGGC
rnacentral:rRNA from 1 species